rnacentral:misc_RNA from 1 species
ACGGGGAUCCUGGCUCUGU